AGAGUUUGAUCCUGGCUCAGGACGAACGCUGGCGGCGUGCCUAACACAUGCAAGUCGAACGGGGUCCAUGAGAGCUUGCUCUCGGAAGACCUAGUGGCGAACGGGUGAGUAACACGUGAGAAACCUGCCUCGGAGUGGGGAAUAACUCGGGGAAACUCGAGCUAAUACCGCAUACCUUCAGAUGAUCGCAUGGUCGACUGAAGAAAGAAUUUCGCUCUGAGAGGGUCUCGCGGCCUAUCAGCUUGUUGGUGGGGUAACGGCCCACCAAGGCAACGACGGGUAGCUGGAUUGAGAGAUCGAUCAGCCACACUGGAACUGAGACACGGUCCAGACUCCUACGGGAGGCAGCAGUAGGGAAUAUUGGACAAUGGAGGAAACUCUGAUCCAGCCAUGCCGCGUGAUAGAUGAAGGCCCUCUGGGUUGUAAAUAUCUUUUAUCUGGGAAGAAACACUCCUAUUCUUAGGAACUUGACGGUACCAGAGGAAUAAGCACCGGCUAACUCCGUGCCAGCAGCCGCGGUAAUA
rnacentral:rRNA from 1 species